rnacentral:rRNA from 1 species
CAGUCGCCACGGUAAAACGUAGGGUGCAAGCGUUAAUCGGAAUUACUGGGCGUAAAGCGUGCGCAGGCGGUUCUAUAAGACAGAUGUGAAAUCCCCGGGCUCAACCUGGGAACUGCAUUUGUGACUGUAGAGCUGGAGUGCGGCAGAGGGGGAUGGAAUUCCGCGUGUAGCAGUGAAAUGCGUAGAUAUGCGGAGGAACACCGAUGGCGAAGGCAAUCCCCUGGGCCUGCACUGACGCUCAUGCACGAAAGCGUGGGGAGCAAACAGGAUUAGAUACCCCGGUAGUCCCUGUCUCUUAUAC